UACGGAGGGUGCAAGCGUUAUCCGGAAUCACUGGGUUUAAAGGGUGCGUAGGCGGUCUAAUAAGUCAGUCGUGAAAUCGCUGGGCUCAACCCAUGCAAUUGCGAUUGAUACUGUUAGACUUGAAGGGGGUUGAGGCUGGCGGAAUGCGACAUGUGGCGGUGAAAUGCGUAGAUAUAGGGAGGAACACCUAUGGCGAAAGCAGCUGCCUGGGCCUUUUCUGACGCUAAGACUCGAAAGCUGGGGGAGCAAACAGGAUUAGAUACCCUAGUAGU
rnacentral:rRNA from 1 species